UACGUAGGGACCAAGCGUUGUUCGGAUUUACUGGGCGUAAAGGGCGCGUAGGCGGCAUGACAAGUCACUUGUGAAAUCUCCGGGCUUAACUCGGAACGGUCAAGUGAUACUGUCGCGCUAGAGUGCGGAAGGGGCAAUCAGAAUUCUUGGUGUAGCGGUGAAAUGCGUAGAGAUCGGGAGGAACACCGGUGGCGAAGGCGGGUCUCUGGGCAAUUCCUGACGCUGAGGCGCGAAAGCGUGGGGAGCAAACGGG
rnacentral:rRNA from 1 species